rnacentral:rRNA from 1 species
GGGGAAUCUUGCGCAAUGGGCGAAAGCCUGACGCAGCAACGCCGCGUGCGGGAUGAAGGCCUUCGGGUUGUAAACCGCUUUCAGCAGGGACGAAAAUGACGGUACCUGCAGAAGAAGCCCCGGCUAACUACGUGCCAGCAGCCGCGGUAAUACGUAGGGGGCAAGCGUUGUCCGGAUUUAUUGGGCGUAAAGGGCUCGUAGGCGGUUCCGUAAGACGAGUGUGAAAAAUCUGGGCUCAACCCAGUGGAGCACUCGAUACUGCGGUGACUAGAGUACGGUAGAGGAGUGUGGAAUUCCUGGUGUAGCGGUGAAAUGCGCAGAUAUCAGGAGGAACACCAACGGCGAAGGCAGCACUCUGGGCCGGUACUGACGCUGAGGAGCGAAAGCGUGGGGAGCAAAC